AAACCAGUUAAAGACACAUUAAAAGACCUUGCCUGGGAAGUAUGACCCCCCCCGCCGUGUUCACCAGCCCUCGCUCCUUCAGAUGACCACUUGUUCCGAUCGAUGGCACACGGACUUCCUGAGCAGCACUUCAAGAGGUACGAAGAAGUGGACAA